rnacentral:rRNA from 1 species
GAUGAACGCUAGCUACAGGCUUAACACAUGCAAGUCGAGGGGCAGCAUGAACAUAGCUUGCUAUGUUUGAUGGCGACCGGCGCACGGGUGCGUAACACGUAUCCAAUCUGCCCGUCACUCGGGGAUAGCCUUCUGAAAGGAAGAUUAAUACCCGAUGGGAUGCAUUUCCGGCAUCGGAGAUGCAUUAAAGAUUUUAUCGGUGACGGAUGAGGAUGCGUACGAUUAGCUGGUUGGCGGGGUAACGGCCCACCAAGGCAACGAUCAGUAGGGGUUCUGAGAGGAAGGUCCCCCACAUUGGAACUGAGACACGGUCCAAACUCCUACGGGAGGCAGCAGUGAGGAAUAUUGGUCAAUGGACGAGAGUCUGACCAGCCAUGUACGCGUGAAGGAUGACUGUCC